ACUGCUGUGUUUUCUAGAAUAGGCUAUCAGAGUCUCUAAAAAAUGUUUAGUUUAAAAAUAUUAUAUAUGUUUGAAGUUCAAAUACAUUAUUCUUAAUUCUCUUACCUAUUUGUUUUGGUCUGGAUUUUGAUAAGAGUUACUCUGCUCCAGACUAGAACUAGAAAUCCAAAGUGCUGAUGAGGAAGAAUUUGGCUUGUUGACAUCCAGAUUCUAGACUCAGAACCUGACCCUGUAAUAGUAUAACAAACUAAAACAUUUCCCACCAACUUGUAUUUCCCAGUUAUAAACCAUGGGGAUUAAAGAGAGACCUAAACCCAAACUAGGAAUUUCUGCAACCCACAUACGAAUUUUCUUCAAAGCCUGGAUCUUAACACCAGCCCCACAAGGACACUACAACGUAUUCCACGGAGCGAUCUGAGCACUUUAAGCCAUGCAAAGACAAGGACCUUGCAUAUUGUCUCAACGAAGGGGAAUGCUUUGUGAUCGAAACCCUAACGGGAUCCCACAAACACUGCCGGUGGUUUUGUCCAAGCCUCUGUGCUAUUGGAAUGAUAAUAAUUUAAUCUUGGUCCUGUGAGUCCAAAAUCAGUACAGCUCAGAAGAAUCAAAGCCUUGUCAAUUAUCAGGCUAUCACAGUGUACUUCUGGAAGAUUUUUCA